rnacentral:rRNA from 1 species
UAGGGAAUCUUCGGCAAUGGACGAAAGUCUGACCGAGCAACGCCGCGUGAGUGAAGAAGGUUUUCGGAUCGUAAAACUCUGUUGUUAGAGAAGAACAAGGACGUUAGUAACUGAACGUCCCCUGACGGUAUCUAACCAGAAAGCCACGGCUAACUACGUGCCAGCAGCCGCGGUAAUACGUAGGUGGCAAGCGUUGUCCGGAUUUAUUGGGCGUAAAGCGUGCGCAGGCGGUUUCUUAAGUCUGAUGUGAAAGCCCCCGGCGCAACCGGGGAGGGUCAUUGGAAACUGGGAGACUUGAGUGCAGAAGAGGAGAGUGGAAUUCCAUGUGUAGCGGUGAAAUGCGUAGAUAUAUGGAGGAACACCAGUGGCGAAGGCGGCUCUCUGGACUGUAACUGACGCUGAGGCUCGAAAGCGUGGGGAGCAAACAGG